rnacentral:rRNA from 1 species
GAUGAACGCUGGCGGCGUGCCUAAUACAUGCAAGUCGAGCGAACGGACGAGAGGCUUGCUUCUCUGAUGUUAGCGGCGGACGGGUGAGUAACACGUGGAUAACCUACCUAUAAGACUGGGAUAACUUCGGGAAACCGGAGCUAAUACCGGAUAAUAUUUUGAACCGCAUGGUUCAAAAGUAAAAGACGGUCUUGCUGUCACUUAUAGAUGGAUCCGCGCUGCAUUAGCUAGUUGGUAAGGUAACGGCUUACCAAGGCAACGAUGCAUAGCCGACCUGAGAGGGUGAUCGGCCACACUGGAACUGAGACACGGUCCAGACUCCUACGGGAGGCAGCAGUAGGGAAUCUUCCGCAAUGGGCGAAAGCCUGACGGAGCAACGCCGCGUGAGUGAUGAAGGUCUUCGGAUCGUAAAACUCUGUUAUUAGGGAAGAACAUAUGUGUAAGUAACUGUGCACAUCUUGACGGUACCUAAUCAGAAAGCCACGGCUAACUACGUGCCAGCAGCCGCGGUAAUACGUAGGUGGCAAGCGUUAUCCGGAAUUAUUGGGCGUAAAGCGCGCGUAGGCGGUUUUUUAAGUCUGAUGUGAAAGCCCACGGCUCGACCGUGGAGGGUCAUUGGAAACUGGAAAACUUGAGUGCAGAAGAGGAAAGUGGAAUUCCAUGUGUAGCGGUGAAAUGCGCAGAGAUAUGGAGGAACACCAGUGGCGAAGGCGACUUUCUGGUCUGUAACUGACGCUGAUGUGCGAAAGCGUGGGGAUCAAACAGGAUUAGAUACCCUGGUAGUCCACGCCGUAAACGAUGAGUGCUAAGUGUUAGGGGGUUUCCGCCCCUUAGUGCUGCAGCUAACGCAUUAAGCACUCCGCCUGGGGAGUACGACCGCAAGGUUGAAACUCAAAGGAAUUGACGGGGACCCGCACAAGCGGUGGAGCAUGUGGUUUAAUUCGAAGCAACGCGAAGAACCUUACCAAAUCUUGACAUCCUUUGACAACUCUAGAGAUAGAGCCUUCCCCUUCGGGGGACAAAGUGACAGGUGGUGCAUGGUUGUCGUCAGCUCGUGUCGUGAGAUGUUGGGUUAAGUCCCGCAACGAGCGCAACCCUUAAGCUUAGUUGCCAUCAUUAAGUUGGGCACUCUAAGUUGACUGCCGGUGACAAACCGGAGGAAGGUGGGGAUGACGUCAAAUCAUCAUGCCCCUUAUGAUUUGGGCUACACACGUGCUACAAUGGACAAUACAAAGGGCAGCGAAACCGCGAGGUCAAGCAAAUCCCAUAAAGUUGUUCUCAGUUCGGAUUGUAGUCUGCAACUCGACUACAUGAAGCUGGAAUCGCUAGUAAUCGUAGAUCAGCAUGCUACGGAGAAUACGUUCCCGGGUCU